GGGGCUGAUUCUGGAUUCGACGGGAUUUGCGAAACCCAAGGUGCAUGCCGAGGGGCGGUUGGCCUCGUAAAAAGCCGCAAAAAAAUAGUCGCAAACGACGAAAACUACGCUUUAGCAGCUUAAUAACCUGCUUAGAGCCCUCUCUCCCUAGCCUUCGCUCUUAGGACGGGGAUCAAGAGAGGUCAAACCCAAAAGAGAUCGCGCGGAUGCCCUGCCUGGGGUUGAAGCGUUAAAACGAAUCAGGCUAGUCUGGUAGUGGCGUGUCCGUCCGCAGGUGCCAGGCGAAUGUAAAGACUGACUAAGCAUGUAGUACCGAGGAUGUAGGAAUUUCGGACGCGGGUUCAACUCCCGCCAGCUCCACCA
rnacentral:tmRNA from 1 species